AUUGAACGCUGGCGGCAUGCCUUACACAUGCAAGUCGAACGGCAGCACGGGUGCUUGCACCUGGUGGCGAGUGGCGAACGGGUGAGUAAUACAUCGGAACAUGUCCUGUAGUGGGGGAUAGCCCGGCGAAAGCCGGAUUAAUACCGCAUACGAUCUACGGAUGAAAGCGGGGGCCCUUCGGGCCUCGCGCUGUAGGGUUGGCCGAUGGCUGAUUAGCUAGUUGGUGGGGUAAAGGCCUACCAAGGCGACGAUCAGUAGCUGGUCUGAGAGGACGACCAGCCACACUGGGACUGAGACACGGCCCAGACUCCUACGGGAGGCAGCAGUGGGGAAUUUUGGACAAUGGGCGAAAGCCUGAUCCAGCAAUGCCGCGUGUGUGAAGAAGGCCUUCGGGUUGUAAAGCACUUUUGUCCGGAAAGAAAUCCUUGGCCCUAAUACGGUCGGGGGAUGACGGUACCGGAAGAAUAAGCACCGGCUAACUACGUG
rnacentral:rRNA from 1 species